GCGACAGACAGCCUCAGAGCUGGUGGGGAGACAGCAUGCCACUGGAAAAAUUCGUAGACAUGGAAUUCCUGGAUCAAUUGAUACUAAGGGGGACUUGCCUGGAAGCAGACUUGCGUCCGCAGUAUACAAACUCACCCUUUAAUGCACACACUGACCAGAUAACACACACAUUUACCCCCACAGCACCUAGACUCUUCUCACAGUACACACACUUGCCUUCCAGUACACAGACAUAUCCAAAGGCACACCGACAAGCACCACAGCAAAAAGAUGUUCCCCAGAACACAUGGACACCCCAAUCCCCAUAUCAUUAGACUCUCCCAGAGGCACAGACUCACCUAAGGCACACUGAUGCACCCCGCAUGACACAGACUUGCCCCCCCACAAGGACUCUACUAUGACACACAGACAAUCCCAACAUCACACACUGUUCCCACAUCACACGAACCCAUUUUGGGAAACACACAGUAUACAGACUUACCCCAUAGAACACGGCUUCCCCGACAAGCACACAUACUCUCAAGGCCAGUAGACUCACCCCACAGCACACAGACUUUCUCCAGAGUGUACAGCUUCUUCCCACAGCAAACAGACUCUCCCCAGGGCACACAGACACCCCUGACAUCACAUACUCUCACCACAGACCAUAGACUCGUCCUAGAGCACAGGGACUCUCGCCAAUGAAACAGACUUUCCCGAGAAUAGACUCAUGAGACAGCUUGAAGACCCGCAUCAUGACACAAAGACUCUCCCACAACAGACAGACUCACCCCAUUGUGUACAGACAAGCACCAUAGGCCACAGACCAUCACCUCAGGACACAGACUUGCCCAGCACUACACAGACACUCUGCAGAGCACGUAGAGUCACCCCGCAAAGCACAGACUAAACCCAUACUACAGAGACUCUCCCUAUAGCUUUCAGACAAGUUUACCCCACCACAGAGACAUGCAACGGUACAUCUUAUAACAUAUAUCACUUCUUGAUGCACACGAUUGUGCCACAGCACACAAACUUGUCCUCCAGUGCACAAAUUCAUGUCACAAAAGACACACUCCCCACACAAUACAAAUACUUGCUCCAGCCGGGCGCGGUGGCUCACGCCUGUUAUCCCAGCACUUUGGGAGGCCUAGGCAGGCGGAUCACCUGACGUUGGGAGUUCGAGACCAGUCUCACCAACAUGGAGAAACCCCGUCUCCACUAAAAAUACAAAAUUAGCUGGGCACGGUGGCGCAUGCCUGUAAUCUCAGCUACUCCGGAGGCUGAGGCAGGAGAAUCACUUGAACCCAAGAGGCAGAGGUUGCAGUGAGCCAAGAUUGUGCCACUGCACUCCAGCCUGGGCAACAAGGGGGAAACUUUGCCUCAAAAAAAAAAAAAACAACCCAGCAACAAAGACAAACAAAAAAAACAAUUACUUGCUCCAGAGUUCACUCAUUUGCCCUAAAAUAUCUAGACCUUACCCCAGAGUUACCACACAAUGCAUGCUGUGUCCCUGCAUCACCAAAAUACAACUCAAACUCCUCAGACACACUCUGAUAAAUAGACAUACCUGACAAUGUAUAGCUUGGCAUCAUAGCAGGAAAAACUGGCUCUACAACAGAUUUAUUCUACAACAGACACACUCAGGCUGUAGAGACACCUAAUCUUUCUUUAAGGUAUUCAGACCCACCCUUUUGGGCACAGUCACAGAUGUGAUCCAGGAUACCCUCACCCAUCCCACAAUACUGAUGCAACCCACAGCGUACAAACACAUCCCACAGCAUAACACUCUAAGCCCACAGUGCUCAGAAAUGUCAGGCACACAUUUGCCAUACAGAUUUAUUUCGCACACAAAAAACACAGCCAGGUGGGUGGCUCAUGCCUGUAAUCCCAGCACUUUGGGAGUCCGAGGCGGGCCGAUCACAAGGUCAGGAGUUCAAGACCAGCCUGUCCAACAUGGUGAAACCCCGUCUCUACUAAAAAUACAAAAAAAUUAGCCGGGCAUGGUGGCACAUGCUUGUAGUCCCAGCUACUCGGGAGGCUGAGGCAGGAGAAUCACUUGAACCCGGGAGGUGGAGGUUGCAGUGAGCCAAGAUCAUGCCAUUGCACUCCACCUUGGGCAACAGAGUGAGACUUCGUCUAAAAAAAAAAAAAGAAGAAACAAACAAACAAGAAAACAACAACAAAAAACACUUCUUAUAGUGCCUAUAUAAUGCAAACAUGUAUCCCAAAAUAUAUGAAACUAUUUGCUUUGUCACUCUUAGGUUUACCCCAAAGCACAUAGACCAUUUUCACUGCUCAAGCUGCUGCCUACAAAACAGGAGAUGCCAAGCCAUGCACAGAAAUUCACCAAAAUGCACAGAUUCACCCAUCAAUAUACAUACUUGCCUCACAACUCACACAAACACCACCGAGCACUGAGACUCACCCUAAAUGUACAGACAAGCCCUUCAGGGCACAGACUUACUCUGUAACAUACUAAAUCACAUCCCCCAUACUUAGAUGUGCCUUAUGAUUCACAGUGAUGCAUGUAAACACAUAGAUUGCUUCCACAAUGCACAGAAUUGCAUCAUAACACAGACUUACUCUACAGUGCAAAACCGACAGUGCACAUAAACAUUUCCCAGUCGGGUAGACACACAACACACAUAUUACUCCUACAAUGUAAAGAUUUCCAUCAUGGUGGACAGACGUGCUUUUCCAUGCUGUUGAGCUACAACUCUGGCCUACAACAACAGAAAUACAGCUUGUGUAAUAGUUACCAGCAAGGCCUCUAGACCCAUACUAACUGGGUUUGAAUCAAGGUCCCGUCCCUUGCUGAUUGUAUCACCUUGGGAGGAGAUGGAAGAUUGAGAGCAGAGUGCAAGAAUGGGAAGAGGGCUUCGUGCCCUGUGCACAUUUGCCACCUAGUGACCAAACUGAGGGAAUGGAAAUUUUCUCACCACUGUGCAAUUAAAGCAGAAUAAAGAGAAAACACUCUUGCUUCAGAAACUGAUGUGUGGAUUGUUCCAGAAAUCAAUGACUACAUUCAACUGGGAGCCUCCUGAGUUCAUUCGGCCCUUUAGCCAUCUCAUGCUUAGUGUGCUGAAAUUGAUGGUUGAGGAGGCAUCAAAUAAGCUGUCUACAUCAAAUAAGCCUGCUACAACCAGAAAAAAAUCCCAACAAAGUAAGAAUUAGUUAUUUUAAUUAUUUAACAUAAAAUGUAAAGUUUCUGAUAUAUUUGGCUAGAUGAUAUGAUUAAAUUGCUGAUAACAUAAUUUUGUUUGUUACAUACAUAAAUAGAAAAGGAAGAUCAGUUUCUUUGUUGUUUUCAGGAUUAAAUACUUUUUCGAAAAUUAAGAAAAGGGAAAAUUAGGACAGAUGCCACCUUUUCAACUACCAGUCUCUUUCAGGAUAGUGAGAGCAGACUAAGAUUCCAGAGUCUGUACUAAUUAGAGUCUAUGCUACUAAUUAUCGGUAUAAUUUGGGAUAAGCCUUCCACUCUUGGGCCUCAAUUACCUUGUUAGUAGAUCAAGACAUUGGACCAAAUAUCUAUGGGCACUUUCAGCUUUGAGUGUUUGUAACUUCGUGAAACAUCUUCGCCUUUAUUUUUUUAUACAGGGCCAUGUUGGAGUGAUAACCAAUAGGGAAGUAAGAGCCAUAUACUUUUGGGGGGUAUGUCUUUGAGCAUAAUCUCAUGGUGGAAGAGUGCCUUAGCUUCUAGAGCUGUGUUGUCUAGUACCGAGGAUGUGCUAUAUAUGUAAAAUACGUACCACAUUUCCAAGACUUCUUCUGAAAAUUUUAUAAAAUAUCCUGUUAUUUUUUAUCUUUAUUAUAUGCGGAAAUGAUAACAUUUUGUAUAUGUUUCGUUAUAUGAAAUACGUUAUAAAAAUAAUUUACCUGUUACUUUUCACUUUUUAAAAUAUGCUAUUCCAAAUAUUGAAAAUUAUACCCAUGGCGCCUAUAUUUCUUUUCUUUUCUUUCUUU